CUGGAAAACUAUGUUUUGUGUG
rnacentral:miRNA from 1 species